AUCCAAAAAAAUUAAAUGGAAAAUUCUAGAAAUAAACAAUUUGUAAGUUUUUAGUCAUGUAGCGUUCUGAGUGGCCUGGGGAAAUCUGCGCUCCUGCUCCACCUCGCCUUGGAUACAAAUCCUUCUUUUGUCCAGCAUAUCCACACUUUCUACCCACCCAUCUGUUAGUCACUUCAUAGCCGGCUCAAUUACCAGAUGGACUGCUGUAACAUUGCAGUGCUUACGUUCAAGUAACCCUUCUCUUACUUCAUCAUGGCCUCAAAGCACAAGAGUAGUGAUGCUGGCAGUUUGGAUAUACCAAAGAGAAGCUGUAAAAUGCUUCCUUUUUCAGUGAAAAAGUGAAAGUUCUCCAUUUACUAAGGCUUUCACAGCUUUCUUCCCUUCAGCAGAGGGAGAAAAGCCAUCCAUCCAGUUUUAGUGGAGGCAAGAAAUUCAGGAGCCAUCAUUCCAAGCUCUUAUUUAAAAAGAAGAAACAAAGAAUCUCUGGACAACAGCCAAGGCAGGCAUCCAGAAGUAGGAAUACUUUUCUAAGAACCUCUGCUCUAUCAUUUCACCGCAAAAUUUGAAUAGAGCAACUGAGAAAACAUCUUCUGAGAUUUGGGAAGUUCUCACAUAAUGUGGUUUUGUACCAGUCUUUAAAACCUUCCAGCUACACUGGCCACACUAUAAUUUCAAAUUAAUCUCUCACUGCUCUAGCUCUAUGGCCAUCUUCUUCCUCUGGACCAUUUAAUCGGAAUCUAGAAAAUCCUACCCAGAGAAAGCAGAAAAGAGAGGACAAGAAUCUCCAUUUCUUUGGGUCCAUCACCUGAUGGUCAUCUGAUUUUCUGGUGGAUCAAGGAUCUGAGCGGGUCCUCGGAGAGCAAUACUCAUUGCAACCAAGACCAUUUUCAUGUUAAUCCCCGAGAGAGAGCUGCAGAGACAGACCUGACACUUGGGCCAUCAUAGUGACCUGGCUUCCAUCCAUGACUUUGAGAUCAGAGAGGCCCUGCAGGAAGAUGGGUGCAUUGGGCUUGCUGGGAGCCACAGGCAGAAGGUACUCGCUCUUCCCGCUACUCUUCUUUUCUGUGUGGUAGAAAACAGAGUGUGGGGUGAACGUUCAUGCAUUCAUUCAACAAACACAGACUAAAUGACCACUUGGUACAUGACUGUGUUGAUGCUCAGGUUCCCACCAGAAACUGGCAGCUAACAGAUGAAGAGUGUUUGGAGUUCCUAGAGAUCAUUAGGAACAAGAUGCCUCCAAUUUCUCUGCUUGGCAAUGAUGAGGUUCUUGCCUGAUAGCCAGGAAUGAACAAUGAGUGCCUAUAAGUUUGUGAGUUUUUAAAACAUUUUAUUUAUUUUUCAAAUAAAUGAUACCCUCACAUGGCACAAAAUUCAAAAGAUACCAAAGAGUAUGGCAAGUCUCCCUCCCACCCCAUCCCCUGGCCACCAGUGAUCUCUCCUCAGAGGCAACGAGUUUUCAGUUUCUUGUUCAUCUUGGCAGAGAUGAUCUACGUGUGUAACAUAUGGAAGCAAACAGCAUUUAUUAUCUUCUUAAAAAGUAAAUGAAAGCACGUUAUACAAAAUAAUUGGCAUGUUUUUAACUUAACAGUACGUCUUGGUGUCUCUCAUAAGGCAGAACUGAAACGCUUCUUUGUCAUUUUCUAUAAUUAUAUGGUGCUCCAUUCCCAUCCUAGGAAGUUUUAAGCACCUCAUGAAAGCCAAGGACACUACACUCAUUAGAACGGCUAAAAAUAAAAAGACAUCACAUCCCAAGAAUUGGUCUUGACAAGGAUGUGGAGCAACUUGCAAAUCUCAUAUAUGGCAGGUGGUACAGAACCUCCUGAAAACAGCUUGGCAGUUUCUUAAAAAGUUAAACAUAUACUUCCCUUAGGAUCUAGUCAUGCUACUCCUGGGUAUGUCCCCGAGAGAAAUGCAAGCACAUAUCCAUACAAAGUCGUGUACACAAACUUUCAGAGCAGCUUCAUUCACAAUAGCUGCAAACUAGAAAUGACCCAAAUAUCCAUCAACAGGUGAGUAAAUAAACAAAUUGUGAUAUAUCCACACAAUGGAAUAUUACUCAGCAACAAAAAAGAAUGAACUACUGAGGGCACCACAACAGGGAUGAAUCUCACAAUAAUUAUGUUGAAUGAAAGACACCAAGCUGUAGGACCAGCUACUUGGGAGGCUGAGGUGGGAGGAUCACUUGAGCAUGGGAGGUUGAGACUGCAGUGAGCCAUGAUCACACCACUGCACUCCAGCCUGGAAGACAGAGUACGACUCUGUCUCAAAAGCAAAAACAAACAAACAAAAAAAAAAAAAAAAAGGAAGAAGCUAGACAAAGAGAGAGUACAUACUGGAUGACUCCAUUUAUAUAAAAUUCUAGAAAAUGCAAAGUCCAGUGACAGAAAGCAGGUCAGUAGUGGUGUGGGGCAGGGGACGGGAGGUUGGAUUAUAAAGGGGCAUGAGGAAACAUUUGGAGACAAUGAGAAUUUCACUUUAAAAAAUCAUGGCAAAGGUUUCAUGUGUGUACAUAUGGCAAAACUUAACAAAUUAAAC
rnacentral:lncRNA from 10 species